rnacentral:lncRNA from 1 species
ACCCAAGUAUGGGCUAUGAAGGGGCUCAAAUCCAACUAUAAUCUAUCAAAAUUUUUCACAAGGAAAAGGAGGAAAGAAUUUGAAAAAUUUAGGAGUCUUUUAACUGUUACUCUUCUUGCAUCGAAUAAAGCAUGGACUAUGAAGGGAUUCUAAUGCAACUACAGUCCAUCAAGUCUCUUGGCAAGAGGGAUGAAGGAAGAAGAACUCUAAAAAUUAAAAGCACAA